CCUACGGGGGGCAGCAGUGGGGAAUAUUGGACAAUGGGCGAAAGCCUGAUCCAGCCAUGCCGCGUGUGUAAAGAAGGCCUUCGGGUUGUAAAGCACUUUCAGUGGGGAAGAAAGCCUUGGGGCUAAUACCCUCGAGGAAGGACAUCACCCACAGAAGAAGCACCGGCUAACUCCGUGCCAGCAGCCGCGGUAAUACGGAGGGUGCGAGCGUUAAUCGGAAUUACUGGGCGUAAAGCGCGCGUAGGCGGUCUGAUAAGCCGGUUGUGAAAGCCCCGGGCUCAACCUGGGAACGGCAUCCGGAACUGUCAGGCUAGAGUGCAGGAGAGGAAGGUAGAAUUCCCGGUGUAGCGGUGAAAUGCGUAGAGAUCGGGAGGAAUACCAGUGGCGAAGGCGGCCUUCUGGACUGACACUGACGCUGAGGUGCGAAAGCGUGGGUAGCAAACAGGAUUAGAUACCCUAGUAGC
rnacentral:rRNA from 1 species